UUAUCUUUUCUUCAUGAGUUAAUUUCAAUUCUAUUUGAAGGAAACAUGGUUAGAGCACUACACCAAACUUAAUUACCUUGCUGUAGUUGCAAACUUGAUGAGUAUAUACUAUAUAGUAUAAUUACCGUGGUCAAAAUUGAUUGUGUGAAUUUGGCAACCAGUAGAUGUUAUCAAAAGAAAUCUCCCGAUUACCAAAAUUUUCAAUGUAAUAUCUGCUCGCUCUUUUAUGUUUUUCUUUUUGUGAUUAUGGUUUCAUAGUGAUCUUGAUCGAGUCUGAAUCCAAAGUGUUUGGAAUUUUGUGGUAUAGACUUGGACACCUUAAUAACUGGCCAUCUGUUUAAAUAAUGCACGUGUCUGAACAAAAUUACAUGCAGAUUUAGAAAGCUAGUAUAUAGAGCCACCUUUUCUAUCUUGGGAACUCACUUGUAUUCCUUUCACCUCCUCUUUUUCUUGUGUUAAAUAUGGAGCUUCGCAAAGCUAUCUUAGCCUUUGUGUUGAUCUUGGUUCUUUCCUUAUUGUAUGGCGGGGUUAAGGCAUUGAGUAGAAGGGACUACUCUUUGGUAGAGAAGAGUGAGAGGAGACCUUUAGUUGUUUCUGAAUAUGGAACGGUCUCCGCCGUUGAUGUCUAAGCCGGGCAUGGUGCACCGUUACACCAUCUUCAGUUCAUCACAUUGGAACCUAACUCUCUCUUCCUUCCCAUCCUUCUCCAUGUAGAUAUGCUCUUAUAUGUCCAACAGAGAGUGGAAGAUUAACUAGUGCAGAUGAAGAUGGAACAAAGAGCAUUGAUUUACGUGUAGGAGAUCUGUGCAAGCUAGAUGAAGGAACUGUUUUCAUAUACAGAGCAACUCUGAUGAACUUAGCCUCUAUGCCAUGUUUGCCAAUUCAGACGAUCACGCUUAUGUAACAAGUGCUUCUGCUAAUCUACUUUUUAACUAGUCUAACUAGUUUAUAAUUAAGCUUUCUUUCAAUGCAGGAUCCUUCAAUAGGUGCUUACUCAAUGGUCAACGAACUCAUCAAAGGCUUUGACAAGAGAAUUAUUCAAGCAGCAUUUAAGAUGCAGUUAUUGGAGCAUCAGGUGCAAAUAUCAGUUACAUUUGUUGUGCUAGUGGAGCAAGUGUUAAGGUUCAGGAGACAAGGAGCGUGCUAGGGGAGAUGACUGUUGAAAUAAGUGGGACUACAUUAGAGAUACAGGCAGUCCUAAUAUUGUUGUUAUUUUUGUAAAAUUUAUGGGAUUGAAUUUAAAUUUUUUGAAAUACAAUGUCAUUUUUGGAAAAUUCAACUUUUUGAUAAUAAAAAUCUUUGAUGUUGGAGA